CUGACAUGCAUCGGGAAAUGGAGUACAAACAUCUGCAGCAAUUCUCGGUCUUACAUCUGCAAAACACCCAAAGUUGUUGCACCUACAAAGAAACCUCCAUCUCCUGCGCCCUUUGUUAAAGAAGCUUCCCAUCGGUCUGCUGGUGUCACUGUGGCUAUAGUACUGGUUGUAAUUGCCAUAGCUGGACUUGGUGCAUUCCUCCUCUUCCGUAAGCGGAUACCCACCCCUGUCCUGGGAGAAUGUACCUUUGACAACAGGUUGUACUUCAACAAUCCAUUCCAAGCCACAGUGGACACCAGGGCCCUGGUGACCAACAUCGAGCAGAACGAACAAGCAUAGAAAGAUUAGAUCAGUUGUGAUCAGCUCAAUAAAAUAAGAUCAAUCAAUCCCAAACGGGCUUCUACGUAGUACUGAGUUAAGGGUCUGAAUGCUUUUUUGCAAUGAGUAUCGUUUUUUUUUUGUUUUUUUUUAAAUAAAUUUGCAAACAUUUUCAAAAGCAUGUAUUUUGGUCAUUAUGGGUUAUUAACUAUAAUUUGAUAGACAAAAAUGGAAAUUUUAUAGUUUCAAUUCUAUCAAAUGUACAACAGUAAAGUGUGCAAAAACUAAAGGCAUGUGAAAUUGUUCUGGGGUGAUAAUGCAGAUUUAGUCUUUACUGUACUGCGAUCUGUUUUCGUGGAGGCAUUGCAUGAAAAACUGCAUAAAUGCAGAAUCUACAGUAUAUACUGCACCAAAUGUAGUCCAGACUAUCUAAAUUUGAUCAAAUUUUCAGGUCAGCACAAUGUCCAUGUACCAGGUUGUGGGUUCCAGUAAAAACAUUGUUUGCAUACAUUCAAUGGAAUGACAAUCAUGUUUAAGCUAAAGAGAUCCUUGAUUUAAAAAAAAAUAUCAGCGUGAACUUUUAGUUCACGUUUAGUGUUUUGGAUUUUUUUAUUUAAAAGAAGACGAGUCUAUUGUCACUGCCAUUAUGAGGAAACAAGUAUUAAUUUAUCUUGGAGGGGGGAUAGUUUGAAUUAACAAAUACAGCAGUGAAAUUAAACCAGUGAUGUAUUUGUUAUAUUGUUGUGCUUCUGACAUUUUACAGUUGUCACGUUUUGCCACUAGAUGGUGAUGAAUAAGUAUGAGAAGCAUCAGAGCUGAUUUGUUUUCUGUUGCAUCAUAUAUCUUUGGUUCACAGUCACUAGCCUGUGGAUGUCACGUUAUCAAGUCUAGUAGUGUUCGGUUUUGGAAAAUGUUCAGGUUGAAUAUAAGGGAUGACUAAUGUGUGUGUUUUAUAUGAUUACAACAAUGAAGGUCAUCUAUUAUGCCCAGCUGAUUGAUAAGAUGGAAUAAAGUGCAAUCAC